rnacentral:RNase_P_RNA from 1 species
GCCUUACCAACGCUGCGUUUCUUUGCUCUCACACAGACGCCGAGUCUCGCACUCGGUUGUCCUACUUGCAAAUGAGAAAUUCGGAGUAAUCUUCACCUCUUUUUGUUAUCUCGCUCCGCGAGCUCUGUCAUCACUGCCCGUGAGGGCCUGGCGUGAUUCACGUCUGCAUUUGGCAUCAGAAAACCCAGGACCCAUAAGCAAAGAUACUGCUCUUCGGAGCGGUGUCUGCGUGAUCUGGUGCUCCUAUGGAAGUCGGUGCGAAGAUAGUGUGCCUCGGUCUAACCGGGGUGACACCAUAGUGCAAUACGCAGCGUGCUCGACCUUGAGUAGCUUCGGCGAAAGAGCGAGGGUAUCAUUCGAUUCCGAUUACUCUGGUGAGGC